rnacentral:lncRNA from 1 species
AGAGGAAGCUGUGUGAGAUGGAGUUUUGUUCUUGUUGCCCAGGCUGGAAUGCAAUGGCGCGAUCUCAGCUCACUGCAACCUCUGCCUCCUGGGUUCAAGCGAUUCUCCUGGUUCAGCCUCCUGAGUAGCUGGGAUUACAGGAAUGCGCCACCACACCUGGCUACUUUUGUAUUUUUAGUAGAGAUGGGGUUUCUCCACGUGCAUCAGGCUAGUCUCACACUCCCGACUUCAGAUGAUCCACCCGCCUCGGCCUCCCAAAGUGCUGGGAUUACAGGCGUGAGCCACCGUGCCUGGCCAAAGCCUUCUUCACUUUCAUUUUGUGGCUGCUGUUGUGAAAUCUGCAGAACCUCAAGCUGUUUGGACUCCAUCUUCUAGGUUGAAUUAGAUUACAGGUAAUCUCAUGGUGGAGGUGUAUUCUGGAUCGACUCACUUUUGAAAUGUUUAUGAAAGAAAUUCCUUCACCUCGGGACUUCCACACUGGAGCUGGCAAUCAGUAUCACCUUAAUUUACCUAUCACAGUGAGGCAUCUCUGCUCUGAGGAAAACAAAACAAAACAAAACAAAACAAAAAAGAAGAGCUAAUGGUUCUGUUUUGUUUUGUUGUUUUAGAGACAGGGUCUUGCUCUGUCGCCCGGGCUGGAAUGCAGUGACAUCAUCACAGCUCACUGUAGCCUUGAUCUCCUGGGCUCAAGCGAUCCUUCUGCCUCAGCCUGAGUAGCUGGGAUGGGACUACAGAUGCACGCCACCACACAUGGCUAAUUUUUUUAUUUUUUAGAGACGAGGUCCCAUGUGAGCCACGGUGCCCCACCUUUUAAAGCAAUUACCGUAAGGAAGCAACUGUCUUUAGCAAAUAGAAGAUCAUAAACAUCCUUCUGGAGAUCUUGAGAUGUUGACUGUGGUUUAUAGGGCAAUGAAAAUCUACAUACCUGAGUGGGGCAGUGAGACAUGAGUGCCACCUAUGAUCCUUCCAGUGAGCAAUUCUUUCUGGUGCCAGGAGCCCAAAGGAAACUCAGUCAACCAGCUGUAGAUGGGCUUGUUCCGAGUUUGUUCUAGAAGUCAGAACUGCCAGCUCUGAAAGUAGGUCACAAGUGACUGGCCAUCCCUGGGCUGCUCACAGGAAGUAGCUGCAAAGGUCAGGGAAAGUUUUUAAUGACUAUACAGGCCAGUGAAUGACAGGCUUUGAGGAGCUUCUCUUCUUGGCAUCUGAAACAGGCACAUGGAGGAGCUGCCUUGGAGACAGAAUGACAGCUGUGGCAAUGUGAGCCUGAUUCCUCAGCCCCAUAAAAUAGAUGCCUUUGCAAAAAACCCAUUUAUUUUUUUUUUUUUCUGUUUUUGAGAGGGAGUCUCGCUCUGUCCCCCCAGGCGGAGUGCAGUGGCGUGAUCUCGGCUCACUGCAACUUCUGCCUCCCGGGUUCAAGCGAUUCUCCUGCCUCAGCUCCCAAGUAGCUGAGAUUACAGGCAUCCGCCACCACGCCUGGCCAAUUUUGUAUUUUAGUAGAGACGGGGUUUUGCCACAUUGGCCAGGCUGGGAAAAAGCCCAUUUCUAUACAGAGGAAUCAUCUUGCAGGACUCAAGGAAUGAUUAAGAGGAAUCUACAGCAUUAACUUUAGAAACUCGAUGCAAUAUUCCCAAGAGGAGUUAAGAUUGGGAUAAGUAAUCUCUGAAUUAAUUUCAACCUUGAGAUGUUGUGAUCCUAUGAAGUCAAAGACAUAUUUCUUUUUUCUUUGUUUGAGAUGGAGUCUUGCUCUGUCACCCAAAUUGGAGGGCGGUGAUGUGAUCUCGGCUUACUACGACCUCUGCCUCCUGGGUUCAAGCGAUUCUCAGCUUCAGCCUCCUGAGUAGCUGAGAUUACAGGUGCCCGCCACCAUGCCCGGCUAAUUUUUGUAUUUUUAGUAGAGAUGAGGUUUCACUGUGUUGGCCAGGCUGGUCUUGAAUUCUUGGCCCCAGGUGAUCUGCCCGCCUGGGCCUCCCAAAGUGCUGGGAUUACAGGAGUGAGCACCAUGUCCGGUCUAGAUACAUAUUUCUAUUAAUACACAUUUGCAGGGAUUGUUUGUUACUGAAGUUGACGCCUUGUGCUUGAGAAUGCUAUUUCACUGACACAAUUGUUAUGGUAUAAAUGUGAGAGUAUAGUUACAAUCUGGACACUAUUUUUUGCUUGUCUUAUUGGCCCAGCAACCAGCUUGACACUGGGGACUAUCAGGCUCCAAAUAAUAACCAAUGUCUCACUCCAAACAGACAGGAUACUACGGAGCCAGGGUCAGCAAACAUUUUCUGUAAAGGGCCAGAUAGUAAAUAUUUUGGGCUUUGUGGGCCCUAUGGUCUCUGUCACAACGAUUCAACUCUGCUGUUGUAACAAAAAAGCAGUCAGACAAUAUGUAAAUGAAUGGGCAUGGCUGUGUUCCAGUAAAACCACAAAAACAGGCAGCUAGCUUUGGUGUGGGGCCCUAAGAGCUUGGACUUUGAAGCCAGGUUCAAAUCCUGGCUUUCUCACCUUCUAGCUCCGUUACCUUAAAGAACUUCAUUAUCUUCCUUGUAUUUUAGUCUUUUCAUCUCUAAAUUAGUGAUAGUACUUAACAGUGUUGUUAUAAAGAUUAAACGAGUUAAGUUUGUAAAGUACUUAAACAGUGCCUACCAGGUAGUAAGUGCUAUAGCAGAGUGUGUUAGAUAAUGAAACAUCCUGUGCUGUGGAUAUAUUAUUCCCAUUACGAUUUGGAUUCAAAUAAAGAAAUACAUGACUUAGAAGA